rnacentral:rRNA from 1 species
UUAACAUAUGGUGAAUCAUGAUAACUUUACGAAUCGCAUGGUCUUUUGUGCCGGCGAUAGUUCAUUCAAAUAUCUGCCCUAUCAACUUUCGAUGGUAGUAUAGAGGACUACCAUGGUGUUAACGGGUAACGGAGAAUCAGGGUUUGAUUCCGGAGAAGGAGCCUGAGAAACGGCUACUACUUCCAAGGAAGGCAGCAGGCGCGCAAAUUACCCAAUCCCGACACGGGGAGGUAGUGACAAAAAAUAACAAUACCGGUCUUAUUUAAGUCUGGUAAUUGGAAUGAGUACAAUCUAAAUCCUUUAACGAGUAUCAAUUGGAGGGCAAGUCUGGUGCCAGCAGCCGCGGUAAUUCCAGCUCCAAUAGCAUAUAUUAAAGUUGUUGCAGUUAAAAAGCUCGUAGUUGGAUUUUGAAGUUUACAUAUUAUGACCCACUUUGUAUUAGGUGUGUUUUGUUGUGAUAUGUACUUCUCCUUACUAGACUUUCACUA